AAUAACAAUCGAUAUUCCCAUUUUCCCAACGACAAUACCGUAAUGCCAUCGGUAGGAACGCAAUCCGUUUUUGGAGAACAAACGACCAACACAGCAACCAUAGCAACGGGUCGAAACAGCGACGCCACCAGGUUGGUUCCAGGUUUGCCAGCAAUUCGUAACAUUUGUGGCUCCGUUUUCAAUCCGCACACACUGUUGCGCUUUAUUGAACACAGAGAGAGAGAGCCCAAGAACCUGCAGGAUGUCGCGCGCGUAAGGAAUGGGUUAAAUGUGACCGGAAGGAGCGGCCUAUACAACGUUGCCAAACAACUUCUGUCGGUAACGAAACGAUCAUGGUUGGGAUUGACUUUUUUUUGGUUGAUUGUUUGCGCUUACUUGUGAAUUUAUUUCACCAAAAAGGAGAAUAAAAACGAACGCUUUUGCUGUUGCAUACUGUGGCCAAACUGUGUUGCUAUACCUCGAGCGGGGCACUAAAAAUCGAUACCGAUUUGCUCUGGUUCAACCUCAGGGUAAUCCAUCCGUACAGUGCGACAGUGCAGUUCGCAAUCGCUUUACUACAUCGUCCUCUUCUUCCCUGGUGCUCUGUGGCUAAAAAACAAGUGUCCCUAUUUGUUGACCCUCCGACCGAGAACCGAACCGUGCAGUGAUGAUGGACAAUGUCACCCCAAAUGGGAUCGGUUGCAGGCGAAUGGAUGGAUGGCGAAACUUCAACACUCCCGGCGUAAGGCGUCUGGGGUUUUCGGGCCCCCUGAAAUUAAGCCCGGUUACAAUGAUCCGACCAUGCAGUAUCAGGCCGAAGGAAGCAGUGGCACAGACACACACAGGUCUUCGAUGACGUGUAGAAGGCCGUCGCCGUCGCAACCACCACCCCGUACCAGCAGCAGCAGCAGCAGCAGCAGCAGCAGCGUGACUGUCCACGUACGCAUGAAGUUUGCGUAAUAAAAUUUGCAUAAUU